rnacentral:rRNA from 1 species
UACAGAGGUCUCAAGCGUUGUCCGGAAUCAUUGGGCGUAAAGAGCGUGUAGGCGGCCUGUUAAGUCUUGCGUGAAAUCUCGGGGCUCAACCCCGAGCGGUCGUGAGAAACUGGCAGGCUAGAGUGCGGGAGAGGAGAGUGGAAUUCCUGGUGUAGCGGUGAAAUGCGCAGAUAUCAGGAAGAACACCCGUGGCGAAGGCGGCUCUCUGGAACGCAACUGACGCUGAGACGCGAAAGCGUGGGGAGCGAACAGG